rnacentral:rRNA from 1 species
AUUGAACGCUGGCGGCAGGCCUAACACAUGCAAGUCGAGCGGAUGAAUGGAGCUUGCUCCUGGAUUCAGCGGCGGACGGGUGAGUAAUGCCUAGGAAUCUGCCUGGUAGCGGGGGAUAACGUCCGGAAACGGGCGCUGAUACCGCAGACGUCCUGAGGUAGAAAGUGGGGGAUCUUCGGACCUCACGCUAUCAGAGGAGCCUAGGUCGGAUUAGCUAGUUGGUGGGGUAAAGGCCUACCAAGGCGACGAUCCGUAACUGGUCUGAGAGGAUGAUCAGUCACACUGGAACUGAGACACGGUCCAGAAUCCUACGGGAGGCAGCAGUGGGGAAUAUUGGACAAUGGGCGAAAGCCUGAUCCAGCCAUGCCGCGUGUGUGAAGAAGGGCUUCGGAUUGUAAAGCACUUUAAGUUGGGAGGAAGAGCAGUAAGUUAAUACCGUGCUGUUUUGACGUUACCAACAGAAUAAGCACCGGCUAACUUCGU